UGGGGAAUAUUGCACAAUGGGCGCAAGCCUGAUGCAGCCAUGCCGCGUGUGUGAAGAAGGCCUUCGGGUUGUAAAGCACUUUCAGCGAGGAGGAAGGUGGUGAACUUAAUACGUUCAUCAAUUGACGUUACUCGCAGAAGAAGCACCGGCUAACUCCGUGCCAGCAGCCGCGGUAAUACGGAGGGUGCAAGCGUUAAUCGGAAUUACUGGGCGUAAAGCGCACGCAGGCGGUUUGUUAAGUCAGAUGUGAAAUCCCCGGGCUCAACCUGGGAACUGCAUUUGAAACUGGCAAGCUAGAGUCUCGUAGAGGGGGGUAGAAUUCCAGGUGUAGCGGUGAAAUGCGUAGAGAUCUGGAGGAAAC
rnacentral:rRNA from 1 species